GUUCAAACUCACAAACUGAGAUCAUGACCUGAGCUGAAGUCAGAGUUUCUUAUUUUCAAAUUCCCAUUGUUUACAGCUGGUAAUAGGAAUACAACAGACUUACAUAUACUGAUGUUGUGUUCUGUAUCCUUGCUAAAUUCCUUUGUAAUUCCUGUUGUUUGUUGCAGGUCCUAUAGAUUUUAUAUAUAGAGAAUCAUAUCAUCUGCAUAUGUAGAUAAUAUUACUUUUUUGUUUCCAAUCUAUGUGUCUAUGCCUGAAUUGAGGUAAACCUGCUCUGAAGAGAGUAUGAAGUAGGCCAAAACAGCCAUGAAGGGUAAAAACAAAAACUUUCUAAUAGAAAAUGUAGGAAAUACCUUGUGACCUAGGAUAUAGAAGUCUUCUUAAAUACCAAUCCUUCCCCCUACCCAGCAUGAACCAUAACUCAGAAAAUAGAUUAGUAUUACUAUAUCAAAAUUAUGAAUUUAUUUUAAAAAGACAAUACAGACAAACUUAAUAGACAAAUGCUAUUUUGGAAAAGGAUACUUAUAAAGUCUAACACUGACAAGGGACUCAUCUUCUUAAGACUAUCCAAGAAAGUCCUACAAAUCAACAGAGAGCAAUUAGGGUGUCAGUUCAUGCAGAACAAAUUGCCCCAAAACAAUAAUAAGCACUUUUUGUCUCACUGUAGGUCAGGAAUUUGGGAGUGGCUUAGCUGUGUUUCUGGGUCAAGGUCUCACUGUUGCAGGAGUCAGCAAGUUGGCCGUGGUUGCAGGUGCUUGAAGGUUUGAUUGAACCUGGAGGAUCUCCUUCUAAGAUGACUCACUUGGCAGAUGACCAGCAGGGAACAUUUAGGAGGAUGCCAUCGCUUUAUCUGUGGUAUCAGGAGUUGGAAGCGAUCUAUUUUCAUUGGUGGGGUUACAAGAACAGCCGGGUGCCUGGGCUUCUGCAUACUGAACCAGCAAUUCACAUGAUCCUGAUGCAGGAGAUUCAUGGAUCACACGUUCAGAAGCCCUAAGAAACACUCUUUCCUGCUCUUGAUUGAGGAAUAACCUUUUCCUUUUUUAAUAAUUUGGUGGCUUCCUAAGAGGGAAAACUUAGAAGACACUCAUUUGGGCUUUUUGAAUAAAGAUCAUUUUCUUGA